rnacentral:rRNA from 1 species
CCUACGGGUGGCAGCAGUGGGGAAUAUUGGACAAUGGGCGAAAGCCUGAUCCAGCCAUGCCGCGUGUGUGAAGAAGGCCUUCGGGUUGUAAAGCACUUUCAGUGGGGAAGAAAGCCUUGGGGCUAAUACCCUCGAGGAAGGACAUCACCCACAGAAGAAGCACCGGCUAACUCCGUGCCAGCAGCCGCGGUAAUACGGAGGGUGCGAGCGUUAAUCGGAAUUACUGGGCGUAAAGCGCGCGUAGGCGGUCUGAUAAGCCGGUUGUGAAAGCCCCGGGCUCAACCUGGGAACGGCAUCCGGAACUGUCAGGCUAGAGUGCAGGAGAGGAAGGUAGAAUUCCCGGUGUAUCGGUGAAAUGCGUAGAGAUCGGGAGGAAUACCAGUGGCGAAGGCGGCCUUCUGGACUGACACUGACGCUGAGGUGCGAAAGCGUGGGUAGCAAACAGGAUUAGAUACCCCAGUAGUC